UCACAAAAUGCGCGACUAAUUGUGGAAUAUGGAGAUCAUCCCAAAACUGACAUCAUCAAUUUGCAUGGCGAAGUUAUGUUUCCUACCAUAAAGCUCUAUCCAGACGAGGUGAAUUUUCAUUGUGUUCCUUUGGGCUCCACCGCUCAGGCAAACGUGCUCAUUCACAAUAUCAGCAACAUGGUGGUUGAAUUCCAGUGGUUUUGGCUGCAGAAGAGCAUUGAUAUUGUCAAUUUGGAUCAUGGUGAAGCGAAGAACUCCGUAACGACGCAAUUUACGCAAAAUACCCAACAACU
rnacentral:lncRNA from 1 species